rfam:Ornithobacterium rhinotracheale DSM 15997, complete genome.
AGAUUGGAGGAUAAAUUUGACGGGUUGCAACCUCAUUAAAAAAUGCUAAUACGGAUUUU